rnacentral:snRNA from 1 species
GGAUGUAAGGGUGAUUUGGCUGCGACAUGUCACCCCAUUGAUUGCCAGGGUUGAUUUGGCUGAUCUGGCCAGCUAGAUGGGUGCCCCAUUCCUUACUGCUCCAUCCCAGACAGAGGAAGACUGUUCUUUGGUCAAGGGUACACAAGUAGCUGUGCUCCCCUGGUAGGACCUCCAAACAAGCUCUUAAGCUGAUGGGGAAAGGAAGGACUAAAUGAGAAAUAAGUGUUAGGAAAAUUCAGUAGAAAAAUAUUU